GACGAACGCUGGCGGCGUGCCUAAUACAUGCAAGUAGAACGCUGAAGGAGGAGCUUGCUUCUCCGGAUGAGUUGCGAACGGGUGAGUAACGCGUAGGUAACCUGCCUGGUAGCGGGGGAUAACUAUUGGAAACGAUAGCUAAUACCGCAUAAGAGUAGAUGUUGCAUGACAUUUGCUUAAAAGGUGCAAUUGCAUCACUACCAGAUGGACCUGCGUUGUAUUAGCUAGUUGGUGGGGUAACGGCUCACCAAGGCGACGAUACAUAGCCGACCUGAGAGGGUGAUCGGCCACACUGGGACUGAGACACGGCCCAGACUCCUACGGGAGGCAGCAGUAGGGAAUCUUCGGCAAUGGACGGAAGUCUGACCGAGCAACGCCGCGUGAGUGAAGAAGGUUUUCGGAUCGUAAAGCUCUGUUGUAAGAGAAGAACGAGUGUGAGAGUGGAAAGUU
rnacentral:rRNA from 1 species